GCCAUCAGAAAAGAUUGGCAGCUGGUGGGGAGGCAACAUGUUCACUGUUAACAACAUUGGCCAUAAAGAAGAACUGCACUACAUGCUUGAGGCUGUCUACUAUCCUGACUUCCUCAAGGCUUUCUGACAGGCCAGUACAUCUCAUACAGAUGCUAAAGGAACAUGGCAAAACGAUGAUCUGAGAACAAGAACAGGCUGCAGCUUCUCACUGACCUCACAUUGAGCUCAGAAGACCCUUCCUCUGUCUAUGGCCUGACGACAAAUGGCGGCGCUCAUUUCUCAUCCUCGUUAACCAAGUGGCUAGUCUUCUUAAUGAGCACUAUUAAAG